GUGGGAGCUGGCUUGCCUGCGAUAGCGUCAACCUAGCCAGCAUUCAUGUCAGCUGACACUCCGCCAUCGCAGGCAAGCCAGCUCCCAC
rnacentral:antisense_RNA from 1 species